ensembl:snRNA U6 U6 spliceosomal RNA
GUGCUCCCGUGGGCAGCACAUAACACUGAAAUGGCACCUGUACAGAGAAGGUGAGCAUGGCCCCUGUGCAUAGGUAACAUGCACAUUUUUGAGCCUUUCCAUAUGUUU